rnacentral:lncRNA from 10 species
GGGUAGAGUAGAAGAUGGAGUGCUGGUAGGGAUGAAACCUCCACUUGAUAGCCCUUUGUGGAGUGUUUACUAGGGGUCAUAGCAAAGGCCUGUGAGCACCUCCCAACAACCACUACUGGGACUGUGGACUACAGAAUUUCUACUUGAGAGGCAUUUCUGCCUUGGAAUGGGACAUUAACAGAAGCUAUCCCUAUGACUGGAGGACAUAAAAUGAUCUUGACACCUAAAAUACACAUGCUGUCUGGAGUGAUGUCAGAGAAACACUCUAACGGGGAUAGCAGUGCCCAGAAGAGUACAUAAUAAAAUGGGAAUGGAUCUUGCUACCUGAGGAGUGCAAAGAGGAUAUACUCAUGAGCUGCGAGCCUCUUUCUCUCCUAGGACUGAUCCUGGAACUGGUGAGGAGUUGCUGGAUACCAUAGUACCUGACAAACAGCUCUAACCUAAGAGUUGCUUGGCUUGUGGAUGGCAGUUCCAAGGUCAUCAGGCAACAUCCUGUUUGGAAGGCAUUACUCUGAUUGAAGAAGAGUCAAGAAAACUUUUUUGUUUUGAGCUCUUUAUAACUUAUAAUGAUUAAGUGUAUUUUUGACACAAUUGGAGACACAUUAUUUUACCAAGGCUUUGACUGGAAUGGUCUAUUUUCAGACAUGAUCAAUCUGCUUGGGGAAUUGAAGUUGACUGCAGAGAGCCAAUAAAAAGCCCAUGGAAAGACUGGUUCCCUAAGAAGUUUCCUGACCCGUGAAAACUAAAGUCAUAGUAUUCUGAAGACUAGAGAAAUUCAACGAAGCCUGUCAAUCUCCCUUGUUUGAAAUCCCAAGGAGUAUGUUGGCAAUGAGAAACCAAUAUGGCCCAGUGGGAUUUCAAAGGCUCUGGGACCAUUGCAAAAAAGAAGGGUGCGUGAGACUCUACACAUGAAUUAGUGGAAUGUGGAGGACAAAGCAACGCCACCUAGGAUGUUAAUCCACCAUGUGGACUUCCCCUGUUCUGGGAAGGCUUCUAAGAUUUCCCCUCUCUCUAUUGUUUCUUGUGUAAAAGCAUGUACUUACUGUAAAUCCUGCCCUUAGAUCAAGACAACUUUGAUGUUAUUGUAUUUCAAUUGUCCUACAUGUCCCUUCUGAGUCACCCUUUCCCUGUGGUAUACAACCCCUGGGUCUGAGGGGUAAUGGCACUGGGAUCCACCAUCUUGUCUCACUGCCGCCUGAGAUGCAGACAGGGCUUCUGUUUUUAAGUCUCCAUUAAAUGUUUCUUUUUGAGAAACG